GCCCCAAUAACUCAAUUGGAUAGAGUGGCAGACUUCGAAUCUGUAAGUUGAGUGUUCGAGUCAUUCUUGGGGCGCCA
rnacentral:tRNA from 1 species